UUUUUAACCAAUGCUUAUACACAACAUUCUGGUCCACACUAGUACCAGAUGGUGGCGGUAAUGCACCAAAAAGUUGUUUGCCAACCGCCAAUAAACCUUAGUCGAAGAAGAAGACGUCAAGAAGAUCGAGGCACGGACUGUACGCUGUUAAAACUUCACUAAGGUAUGUCACACCGUGUGAUCACACUGUUCUGUACUCGAUAACUUAAAGGUUUGGUGUUUUAUUGCUCCUUAGAUCGGUGUUGGACCGGCGAACACUUUAGGCCUAUUAUCAUUCAGAGGACUUGCUAACAUGAAGAAAAUGGUCCAGAGGUUCCACCUGAGAGCCGGGACUGUCAAACAGUAAGAGACAACGAAAAGGGGGGAACUGUCUUUAAGUUGUGGAGUCAGAUGGAGGGCUCGCAUUUACCUCAAAAACGGCAUUGCAGAAGACUCGAACAACUAGAACCAACUCAAGCACACAAUGGUGACACACAUUUGUAAGACCUUUCCCUGUGAUAUAAAAUUUCCCUGUGGUAAUUAUUCAGAUUCUUCUCAUUCUCAUUGUGUAACACUGUUUUAAGCUUGUUGAAUAUUAUGUACAGUAAGCACUAGAAGUAGAGACUUAUAUUACUUGGGGUAGUGUUUUAAAUUAACUUUAAUUUUGCUUUUGGGGGCGUGGUUAUGACUCCGAACUAGGCGCACGCUUUUCUGUGAGCUCCUGGCGUUGUUCGUUUAAAAUCCUGAAUACCAUCCUCUUUAUUCACCGACACGAUUUUAUUUUGUUUUA